rnacentral:rRNA from 1 species
UACGAAGGGGGCUAGCGUUGCUCGGAAUCACUGGGCGUAAAGCGCACGUAGGCGGAUUGCUAAGUCAGGGGUGAAAUCCUGGAGCUCAACUCCAGAACUGCCUUUGAUACUGGCGAUCUCGAGUCCGGGAGAGGUGAGUGGAACUGCGAGUGUAGAGGUGAAAUUCGUAGAUAUUCGCAAGAACACCAGUGGCGAAGGCGGCCCACUGGUCCGGUACUGACGCUGAGGUGCGAAAGCGUGGGGAGCAAACAGG